GUAGGUGAACCUGCGGAAGGAUCAUUAACACGUAUCCAACGUUAAACAACCCUGUGAACCUUGAACGUGCUCUCGUACACGCUCUAGCAGCUAUUGAGUCUGGGACUUCUGCUAAAAAACCAUACGAUACGAGCGCCAGAGUAAGUGCAGCAAUCUGUCAGUGGUUGCGCAAGGAUGGCGCAGUAAACGAUCGCUGUAGGCCCACACGGCCGCCUCUGUGCUUCGGCACCUAAUGACACCAGUUUUCUGACCCGGUGCGCUGUAACAACCGCACCACAAACUCGAACAUCUGUUAACAAUGGAUAUAUUGGUUCUU
rnacentral:misc_RNA from 1 species